CUAGCGACUUCAGAGUUUGAUCCUGGCUCAGGACGAACGCUGGCGGCGUGCCUAACACAUGCAAGUCGAACGGAGUGGCAAAGACAGAUUCCUUCGGGAUGAAGAUUUUGUUUACUUAGUGGCGGACGGGUGAGUAACGCGUGAGCAACCUGCCUUACAGAGGGGGACAACAUUGGGAAACCGAUGCUAAUACCGCAUAACAUAUAUUUAUCGCAAGGUAGAUAUAUCAAAGGAGCAAUCCGCUGUAAGAUGGGCUCGCGUCUGAUUAGAUAGUUGGUGAGGUAACGGCUCACCAAGUCGACGAUCAGUAGCCGGACUGAGAGGUCGAACGGCCACAUUGGGACUGAGACACGGCCCAG
rnacentral:rRNA from 1 species